CACACAAGAAUAUUUAUUUUCCAGUGCUCCUACCAUGUCAAAUAUGAUUGACAAACAUGUUUGCUUGUCAAGGGGAAGUGAAUGGAGUAAAGAAUAUUCUUUUCUUUGCACUUGCAUGUGAUUUUAAAAUGGAAAAUCAGGGAAUAGUGUUCACAGAAAGGUGGCCCACACAUAGCUCGAUAUAUGAAUUAUCCCAAGGGUGCAAGCAGUGCAAGUUUCCCCCACUGCUAUGCUUGGACAAUAUUCUGCAUGGACCAUAGCCAGUGGAAAGAGGACAAUCUAGGGCUCCGUGUGCAUUCAAUCCUUGGUUGCUCUGCUGAGACUCUCAAUCCACUUCAUAGAUAAUAUGGACCAGCUCCUCAAAGGUCUCUCCCAGCUCCCUAAAAUGUCUCUCCUACCUCCCAUUGAUUUCAGGUACCUAAAUACUUUGAGGGUCUGGUUGUAUAUGUCCACCUAACAAAAUCCCAUGUAAAAAAGCUGUCAUCCCAUUGUCAAUCACAUCUUUUUCCACAGAGUCACUAGAUUGCCAGUAAGAACGAAGUGGCCUGGAUCAAAUUCAAAUUGGUAUUUAGACUGAGAUCAUUUUUAUUUCCUGUCUGUUGCCUGGUUUAGAGUCUGGCUAAUAGGUGAAAUCAUAGAACUAGAAGGGACCUUGAGAGGUUAUCUAGGCCAGUCCCCUGCACUCAUGGCAGGACUAAGUCUUAUCUAGACCAUCCCUGACAGGUGUUUGUCCAACCUGCUCUUAAAAAUCUCCAAUGAUGAAGAUUCCACAACAUCCCUAGGCAAUUUAUUCCAGUGCUUAACCACCUUGACAGGAAGCUUUUCCUAAUGUCCAGCCUAAACCUCCCUUGCUGCAAUUUAAGCCCAUUGCUUUGUGUCCUAUCCUCAGGGGUUAAGAAGAACAAUUCUUCUCCCUCCUCCUUAUAACAUCCUUUCAUAUCCCCUCUCAGUCUUCUUUUCCAGAUUAAACAAACCCAAUUUUUCCAAUUUUCCCUCAUAGGUCAUGUUUUCUAGACCUUUAAUCAUUUGUUACUCUUCUCCAGACUUUCUCCAAUUUGUCCAGAUCUUUCCUGAAAUGUGGCGCCCAGAACUGGACACAAUACUCCAGCUGAGGCCUAAUCAGUGCAGAUAGAGUGGAAGAAUUACUUCUGGGGUCUUGCUUACAACACUCCUGCUAACAUAUCCCAGAAUAAGGUUUGGGUUUUUUGCAACAGCGUUAUACUGUUGAUUCAUAUUUAGCUUGUGGUCCACUGUGAUCCCCAGAUCCUUUUCCAUAGUACUCCUUCCUAAGCAGUCAUUUCCCAUUUUGUAUGUGUGCAACUGAUUGUUCCUUCCUAAAUGGAGAACUUUGCAUUUGUCCUUAUUGAAUUUCAUCCUAUUUACUUCAGAGCAUUUCUCCACUUUGUCCAGAUGAUUCUGAAUUUUAAUCACAUCCUCCAAAGCACUUGCAAUCCCUCCCAGCUUGGUAUCGUCCACAAACUUUACAAGUGUACUGUCUAUGCCAUCUAACUCCUUGACAAAGAUAUAGAGCCAAACCAGACCCAGAACUGAUCCCUGCAGGACCCCACUUGAUAUGCCCUUCCAGCAUGACUGUGAACCACUGAUAAAUACUCCACAGGAAUGGUUUUCCAGCUUGUUAUGCACCCACCUUAUAGUAGCUCUAUCUAGGGUGCAUUUCCCUAGUUUGUUUAUGAAACUGUCAAGAGAGUCUGAAAAGCCUCACUAAAAUCAAGAUAUACCACAUCUACUGCUUCCCCUGCCCCCCACAAGGCUUGUUUCGCUGUCUAAGAAAGCGAUCAGAUUGGCUUGACACGAUUUGUUUUUGACAAAUCCAUGCUGACUGUAACUGAUCCCCUUAUCUACACAAAGUUUUUAAAAGAAAAAAAAAAGAGUAAGACUGCGUAACAAUUGUUAAUAGCGAAUUGGGAGAUUUCGGAGAUGUUAGAGGCACACAGUACGCCUUACAAUGAGGAGGUAGCGUUACAAUGAGAAGCGACCAAAUGAAGAUGUUGCUCCACAUUUCACUACACCCUAUAAAACAAAAACCCUCCAAUAGUUAAAAGAAAUUGUAUAUCUUUGAUACAACAAGGCCAAGCCAUGCAGUUGGGCUCUAUUGACGGAUCCUAGCUUUUUAUGAAGACCCUAGAUAUUGGCAAACCAAAAUAACGUAGACUUGAUUUUUAAAAAACAAAAACAAAAACAAAGUUACUGUAUUCUAAUUUUAUUGAAAGACAUGCAUCAUAGUUGCUGUUAUGGUCUGACCAAUUAAUUAUUAUUUGUGAGAAUCGCAUUUAAGAACUCACUGAAAUUAACAAAAUCUCUAGUUUUAAUGUGCAGCAUUUUUCAAGACAACCCUUUCCAUUCCCACUAUGAAGACAAUAGAGCAGAAUCUCAGCUGGUGUAAUUUGUCAUUGCUCCACUUGUUAAAUGGAGCAAUGACAAUUUACAUCAGCUGAGGAUCUGUGCCAUGUUAAGAAGAGAGACAUUAUAUGAUCAAACAUCUGCACCCAUGGUUUCCAAAGAUAACAAUGGCUUUAUUCACAUUAAACACAAGAGGAACACUUUACUAUGCAUCAACAAUGUAGUAAGAAAAAAAAAAAUCAGUUUCUGAAACUGCUGUCACUGAGCCCAAACAGUUAACACUUACUUAAAUAGCUAAAAAUUCACGAAGGUGUUGCUUUGAAAUACAAACAGUUAUACAGAAGCCACAAUCUGAUGCAAAACCCUCGGGCACAGAAGAAAGGAAAAACAAACAACUAAUUUUAGAUCUUGAGUACUCAUUAGUGAUUCUCACCAAUUAGAAUAUGAUGCAACUGCUGUCAACAGGCAAAUUUUAGAUAUAUUUUAAACAAGUGUUUGGAAUAUUUAUGCCUAAAUUAUUUUACUGUAAAAAGAAUAUUGAACAUAAUUGGUGAGCAAUAUAGAGACUCUGACCUGUUGAACUAGUGCUCCGGCUCUCGCAUUUCACUGGUUAAAUGGAUGCUGUGCUUGAAAGGUAUUCCUGCACCGUGAAUCCCCAGUUUAUAGGUUUUACUGUUAUCCUUUUAGUUUGCCUCUGUAGUAGAUCCAGGAUAAAAUUUUCAGAAGCACCUGGAGUGACUUAGGAACCUAAUCCCACAGAAAGUCAGUGGGACUCAGGAACUUUUGACAUUUCUACCUCUAGUUUUUCAGGUCAAUUUUGACCUGCACCUAAGUUUCCAAAAGCAGCAAGCAAGUUUUCAGGUGGAGAAAACUUAAAGGGAUCUGAUUAUCAGAAUGUCAGAGCUCAGCAUUUGCUGGGGGGGGGGAAAUCAGCCUCCAUUAUGGAGUCUCGAGUUGGACCCCAAAAAAUUGAGGCAAGCAACAAAACAAAAAGAGCCACUAGUCACUUUUGGAAGCUCUUGGCCAUCUGAGACCAUUUCUUUCUGAUGUCUCUAUUUUGGAACUCCCUAUUAAUGGUUAUAAUACCUCUUAGGAGUCGAAAGGGCCAUGUUUAAGUCCAAGGAGCAGAAGCUAGCAAGAGUCUCUCUCCAAUUGUACAGGGCUGCGAUUAGAACACUGUGCAGAAUAGAGCACACCAAGCAGCAGUCUUUGGUGGCACUAAAUGAGCAUCCUUGCUGAAGGCUCUGAGAACAUUCAAUGGGUCCAGUUCACCACUGCCUUGUACCAUGCACAAUCACUACCCUGUGCAAGGCAUAAUCACUAGUGCCAAGCAAGUAACACUGCAAAAAUCAGAACAGCAGUGUUUUAUACAAGCUUUGCAGUGGUACAGAAGACUACUCAAUGUGAAUCUGACCUCUUUUUUGGACAGCAGUGGUGGGGGGGAGGGAAGUUCAUGAGUUGUGUGCCUUCUUCAGUUUAAGUCCUUCUCCAUUCUUUUUUAGCCUCUUCUCUUCAAACUGAGACUAGUGCCUUUUUUUUUUUUUUUUAAAUAGGUGGCACAGACUGGGAGCAGAAAUGCCUGUUUUAAGGCUUGAGAAUGAUGAAGGGAAAUCUUUUUCUGUGGGCACACUCUGAAGCACUGUUUUGAUUAAAACACUGGGGCAUUUUAUCAGUCCCUCUUCCCCACCAAAAUGGAAAAAAAAUCCUGUACUACUGUAUAUUUUGGUGAGCAAAAGAUCAGAUAGCUUUCUUCUUUUUUCACUAGAAUAAGCUGGCUGUCAGAAGAAGAGCUUUAAAAGCAUUCCAUCAAAAAGACAGGCAUGCUCUUUAAAUCAGAAAAAAAAACAGCUGCCACAUGACCAAAUAAUGGCCAAUAUUUUGCUCCCAACUACCAGUGCAGCUCCUCCUGGCUUCAGGUUUCAUUCAUCAAGUAUUCGUGAGCACAGAAAAGGAUAUUUAAAGCAGCUUUGUUAAGCCAAGUCUCAAAAUCUAGAUUUUCCUUACAUAGGUUUCCAUGCUAUGAAUGCAAAAUCCCUCAAAGCAGCAGCUGGCAGAAAGUGCAUGUACUUGGGCAUCACAGCAACAUGUAUGUACUGAAGAGCUGCAGCAUCCCAUAUGAAGUGAGAUUUCACCUGUCACUGCUGCUGGCAAGUGCACGCUGCAGCCAGGAGUUCGCUAGAAUGAUCCAGCACUAUCCAGAUUACUUGAUUCAGAAUUCUAAUACUCCAGUUCCCAAACAUAUCUAAAUACUGUAUGUACAAUGGCAUGACAAAACCACCCAUUACCUGAUUUUACUGUGAGCUUCCCGAUAAACAGUGGCUAAUUUAAAUUGCUGCAAGGUGAAUCUGGUCAGUAAAAAUAAAUCCUAUGCUCAGUGGAAUGAAGUCAUGCAUCAUGGCAAUAUGUAUCCUCUCCCUUUCCCCACACACAUUGCUAUUUACUCACUUCCUGCCAUUCCCCUCAUGCCCAUAAGAAAAAAAAAAAUGGAAAAAAGAGAUAAAGGAAUAGCAGCAGCAGCCAUCUCAUCCCUCACCUUGAUUGCUCUGUUUGAAUGCUCUUUCUCCCUCCUUUCACCUGUUAGCUUCUGGGGGGAAGGAAGAGAAAAGGGUCAUUAUUUAGACUAAGUUCAUCAGGGAAGGAUCUGUGUCUGCCUGUGUGCAGCAGCACCCAGCCCAAUCUGACCACAUUACAAACACCCGUACCAGCUACCUCCAUGCUUUUUUCUCCCCCUCUCUUUCACUGAAGAAAUAUCAGCCUACAAAUGGAGAAACUAGGGCUUCCAACCAGAACAGCUGGUCUUCAAUUGACCUUACCAGGUGGGCAAUGUAACAGGCUCCCCUCAUUAGUACAGAAAUGCAGUCUGAACAGGACAUACACAAUAAUUUAUAUUUUCCUCCUAUCCUUGGCCUCCCAAACAUUCCCAGAGAGAUGCAGAUGUCAAUGUUAACUGAGAGCCACUCCACCUAAGUCAAUGGAGUUACACCUGGGUCAGCGUUAUGUAAAAAUACAGCCUGCAGAUUUACUCAGACAAAAAGUGAACAGCAGUUUGCUUCAGUUAAAAAUAUGGCCCUUACCUUUUAAGCCUGAGCUCCUGAAGACUACGGGCUACUGGGAUUUUAGGCACUUUUGAAAAAAAAAAAAAAAAAUCCCACUAGGAGCCUAAAUACUUUUUAAAAAAUGGCCCUAAGGGUUCAGGAUUUGGCUCUGCGAUAGCAGAAUAAAUUUGUUGAAAUAUUUAAAAGCACUGUAUAAUUAAGCCUUAAGAAUGACUGCUUGCUGCCAUGCGAGAGUAUAAAGAAUCACAAUUCAGUUAGAGCACAACAGCAACUAUGAUGUAUGUUUUGUAAUAAAAUUAAACGACAGUAACUUAAAAGCAAACAGAAAUUAGUUUCUUUCUCUCAUAAUUCCUCAUAUUAAGGUUAUAUACUGGAUAAAGUGCAAUUUUAUUACUAUACCCGUAGGCUCCUGAACACAUCAUGCCACAUGUUCGGCUGGCUGCUAAAAAGCAGCCGCCAAGAGAUUAGCAUUUGUUCCAAAGAUAGUUGAGAUUAAUAGUUUGAAACUUUUUUUUUUAAUUUACCCAUAAAACUCAACAUUUAAAUUAGAGCCAACUUUAACAAUGCUUUCUUUCCAAAAGCUACCAGCAUGUUAGUCCUUAAAAGCUGAUCAGAACAGGGACAGGGUCUUCAUCAUACUUUCUAUAAUUGAAUAGACAAUGAAAACUAUUCAUGUUACAUAAUUUAAGUAUACAAGGAAAGAAACACCCCAGGUGAAACCCUAGCCCUAUUAAGAGGGUCAUUGACUCGUUAUCAGUCAAUGAAUCCAGGUUUUCACCCCCCUGCUGCUCACAGAAAGUGGACACUCCUAACAGAAGCCACAUCACAUUCCUGGACAGUGAGAUUUUUUAGGAGAUAUUGAACUGCACUGCUCCUCAACCUUUUCUAGGAGGAUGGAAUGGAGAGUAGGACUUCACAACUCAGCCAAGACCUACUUGUCCAACAGCAGAUCUCAGUAAGACAAUCAGAAGCUAUUGUACACACUAGCUAAUGAACAUCAAGUCUCUAUGCUAGCUUAUGCAAAUCCUUCAUUAGUUCUGAGUAAAGGCUCCUCUUUUCCCAAAGUGCGAUAGAAAACUGGUGCAAAUAGCUUUCUAUAUCAUAUUGAAGUGGAUCUCUCAAGGGAAAGGUGGGCGGGGGGGAAGAAGAGAGCAAGCACACACAACACAACCUCACUUCUUCACCCUUAAAAAAAACAGAAGACCCAGAAUAGGGCCUGACCCCACAGAGUUGAGAACAAUGGCUUUAUAGAACCUAUAAAUCUCACGCAAAACAGAAAGUUGUGGCACCACCACUAUGUUUCUCUGAUAUCCAGAUUCUAUUCUAUCCUCUGAUAAUGGAUUACUCUCCGCCUCCCCCUUUGCAUUGACUGAAUUCCCCUUUCCCCCAAAUCACAUUUGCUGUAGCUGUUAGUAUACUCAGCUUCCAGCAUCACUUAAAGAUUUUACAAAGCUCUGUCCUGGCACUGUUUGAUGUGAAUCAGUUCUAUAAGCCUGCUAACAAUAUUAAAGCUCUUCCUUAGUUUUCUCUUCAGAAGCAUACCAGCAAGCUCAGCUCCCAGUGCACAAAAACCACACACAAAAACACACACACACACACGAGAAGAGGGGAGUAUUUGACAUUUUUAUCAGCAAGCCACUUCCUGGAACAUAAAGCAUAUUUAAAAAGGCAUUGAAAAUAAGAAUAAUUAAAUUGUAAGACAUGUCAUCUUCGUAAAAGCCAUAGGACUAAAUAAAAAGUCUUGGAGAGCCCUCUCCUGUACAUUCCAUAUUUAUCUAUGAAAGGGAAGUGCAGGAGUGCACACCUUGCUCUAGAAAAUCUUGGAUAAACAAGACCAGUCUUAUUCAGCACCUUUGAAGAUUUUGAAAGUGGCAUUUGAUUAGCUCAAAGGCACAAGCUCCUAGGAAACAGACAAAACACAAUACUAAAGACUUCUCCCCCUGCCCCCACCCCCCCCCCAAAAAAACCCAACUAAAAGAAGUUUAGUCUUCAUACUUGCUGAGCGAAAACACUAAAAGCUACCAUCAUCAUGCCUUUAAAAAAGUUGGAGGUGGAUAUAUGUUCGGUCAACUAAGUUGGUUAACUAAUUAGGUCAUGUCAAUUUUUUUUUUUUUUAAAUCCACCUUUUUACACAUUUCUCCUAGGAAAACAGAAACAAGCUUAUCGCUCCAUAGAUGCCAGGUACUAUAACUAGUCACUAGUCACGAAAUGCAUAACAGAACACAAACAUUCCUUACCUCAGUGAAGCAGAUUAUUAAGAAUGCUAUUGUAUUGUUAAUAUUUAGGCCUUUUCUUAUUCAUUGACACAAUGAAUUUAGCGGCAUGAGUGAGCAGACCCCUUAGCAACCCUUAGUUGUUUUUACUUUCAUCUUAGUUUGAUUUUUAACUAUUGCAAUUACCAGGGACAAGUUCACAGUUAAAUGUACUAUAUGAGCACUGCAGGAAGAGCAAACGCUUCCAAUAGAUUUUCCUCAUGGUUACUGCUGGAGUAGAGAACAAGACACUUAUACAAAAGUAAAAAUCCAUUACAAUUCUGUUAGAGGACUGCUAAGGUGAAGUGUUAUUUUCUAUAUGACCUCAUACUUUAUUUUACAAUGUUAAAUUGUCUUUUUUUAUGUUGCUUCACUAAUGAAAGUGAUUGGGGAAGGAGAGGGGGAGAGACAAAGUAACGAUCUUAUCUCUUGUUUAAAGGCAGCUGGAAAUAAAGUUUGUCCCACAUGAAAUAAACAUCUGCAUUCCCUAAGCGUCUGAACUCAGGUUUAAAAACAAAAAGAAACAAAAACAAAACAAAAAAAACGAAGUAUAUUUUGUUUCAGAUA